rnacentral:rRNA from 1 species
UACAGAGGGUGCUAGCGUUGUUCGGAAUCAUUGGGCGUAAAGGGCGUGUAGGCGGUUUGCUAAGUCAUGUGUGAAAUCCCUCGGCUUAACCGGGGAACGACGCACGAAACUGGCAAGCUAGAGUACCAAAGAGGGGGGUGGAAUUCCCGGUGUAGCGGUGAGAUGCGUAGAUAUCGGGAGGAACACCUGUGGCGAAGGCGGCCCCCUGGUUGGAUACUGACGCUGAUACGCGAAAGCGUGGGUAGCAAACAGG